rnacentral:tRNA from 1 species
GUCGGCGCGGCCCACCGCGGCGAGGAUCUCCUGCUCCAGGUGGGCGCGGGGGCGCGGUUCCAGUCCGCCGCCGUCGCC